rnacentral:lncRNA from 1 species
GUCAUUUCCACGCGCCACGCAAAUUGCUCUGGCAAGUGUCAUUCGUCGUGUUUUCAGUCAAAAGCAUAGGAAAAACACCGUUCGAAAGUAGAAAAAUAAGUAUUUUUGCGAAGUUGCUCCACCGAACUUCAUUUUGGGAUUCAAAUUUGAAAUAUAAAUGGUAAGUGGUUAUUUUUAUGUAAAAAGAUAUACGUUUAUAGGCUAAAUACAAAGAAAAAAUAGUAUAAUACAAAUUACAAUCUCGGUGCUUGUGAUGUUUAUAUUGCCAAGAAGCAGAUUCCCAUUUCGCUAAAUUAAUGCGGGCCAAACGUAUUGCUUUCCUGUCUUUUACAUUAAUAAGAAAGCAUAGGUGCUGAUUUGAAACACGUCCAUCAGGUUCCAUGCAUGUAGCUUUGCGAUUUGUGAGCAAAAAUUAAAAGUUAAACUACCUAUGUUUUUAAUACUUUCUGUGCAACUAAUAACCACAUUCACAAAUAUAUUCUCCAGCAAAGAAACGUUUCUUUACGCCUUCAAAGGUCAGAGGUCUUUCACAUGCAGAAUAGCAGAGACUACUGUCAUUGACAUCCUUUAUCACAAAAUUAUGAUGGCAUAUUGGACAGCUAUGUUGGAUAAGGCACUUCCUUAAUAAAUAGCUUGACACAUAAGUUCAUGCAGACUAAGUUUUGUUCAAUUUCAUUUGUUUUGUAGUCGGUAUCUUCAACUGCUUGGAUUAGUGGUGGGCUUGUCUGAUCAUUUCCUGCAGAUAAAUCAGAUUGGCUAGGGUGAAAUGCAAUCAAAUAGGCAUCAGAAUCUUCAGCACAGCUGCCAAUUGAAAGUGGUGUCAAAAUAUUAUCUACAAAUAAUAUGCAAAAUGCUCUGGUGAACUGGAUGGGACUAAUUGGUUGUCACAAUCCCCCCCCCCCCUGCUGCCUAAUGAGGCCAAAGAAGUUCUCCAGAGGAUCUUGGUUGAGACAUCUUGUCAUGAGAAACUCCAAGGAAUGAUGUUGGUUAAGGUCUUGAAAUGUAAAUACUACAGUGUAAUAACUACUGACAGUGUAAAUACUACAACAGUGAAAUGUAAAUACAACAGUGUAAUUGGGAUUUAAAAAUACAAUUUUAAUAAAUGUUGUUUAUUUUAUGU